GACGAACGCUGGCGGCGUGCUUAACACAUGCAAGUCGAACGGAAAGGCCCUGCUUUUGUGGGGUGCUCGAGUGGCGAACGGGUGAGUAACACGUGAGUAACCUGCCCUUGACUUUGAGAUAACUUCAGGAAACUGGGGCUAAUACCGGAUAGGAGCUCCUGCUGCAUGGUGGGGGUUGGAAAGUUUCGGCGGUUGGGGAUGGACUCGCGGCUUAUCAGCUUGUUGGUGGGGUAGUGGCUUACCAAGGCUUUGACGGGUAGCCGGCCUGAGAGGGUGACCGGCCACAUUGGGACUGAGAUACGGCCCAGACUCCUACGGGAGGCAGCAGUGGGGAAUAUUGCACAAUGGGCGGAAGCCUGAUGCAGCAACGCCGCGUGCGGGAUGACGGCCUUCGGGGUGUAAACCGCUUUCGCCUGUGACGAAGCGUGAGUGACGGUAAUGGGUAAAGAAGCACCGGCUAACUACGUG
rnacentral:rRNA from 1 species